GUCUCCGUGGCGCAAUUGGUUAGCGCGUCUGACUGUUAUGCAGUGCAAUCAGGAGGUUGGCAGUUCAAGCCUGCCCGGGGACG
rnacentral:tRNA from 1 species